GUUUAUACCUGAUGGAGAUCACCUGGGAAGGCAGACAAAGCCAUCCUACACGUUUCUCUGCCUCCCCUGGCUUGCACCAGGGGGGCUCAUGAAGCUGAGAUCUGACAUGACCACAGGUGGAUUUUGCUUCCAGUGAAGAUGGUAUAAGGCAUAAACUGCAAAGGGGUGAUCUGCCCCCAACUCUACCAGCCUCACUGCUGAGGGACAGGAAAACUCAGCUCUGGCUCAUUAUGGACUUGAUGGUAUCUACUUUGCUGGGUGCUCAUGCAAUAACAAGCAGACCCUGGAAAGCUGGCAAAUGGUGGGGGAUGAGAAGUGUUUCUCUGUGGAGCUGAAGCUCUGGUGCUCUCCGAGUGUGCAUGAUAAAACCUUGACUGCACCCCAGGCAGGGCAGGGAUUCCUCAGGUCCAUGGAUGAACAGAAAAUCACACCUGUGGGCAGAAGCUGAGCCCUGAAAAGCUGCCUCAGGCUUCCUCCAACAUUAACUUCCUGAAUUAAACUCAACCUCAGUUUUUAUACUAUUCUUGCCACCUUUUUUCUUUCAGUUGACUUGAGUAGAUUAAUUUCAAAAAGUAAAAUAAAAUAAAUAGUG
rnacentral:lncRNA from 1 species